rnacentral:rRNA from 1 species
GGCUCAGGAUGAACGCUAGCUACAGGCUUAACACAUGCAAGUCGAGGGCAGCGGGAUUGUAGCAAUACAAUUGCCGGCGACCGGCGCACGGGUGAGUAACACGUAUCCAACCUUCCGGUUACUCGGGGAUAGCCUUUCGAAAGAAAGAUUAAUACCCGAUAGUAUAAAUUUUCCGCAUGGUUUGUUAUUAAAGAUUCAUCGGUAACCGAUGGGGAUGCGUGCCAUUAGCUAGUCGGCGGGGCAACGGCCCACCGAGGCGACGAUGGCUAGGGGUUCUGAGAGGAAGGCCCCCCACACUGGGACUGAGACACGGCCCAGACUCCUACGGGAGGCAGCAGUGAGGAAUAUUGGACAAUGGAGGCAACUCUGAUCCAGCCAUGCCGCGUGAAGGACUAAGGCCCUAUGGGCUGUAAACUUCUUUAGACGCAGAGCAAUAAGGGCCACGCGUGGUCCGAUGAGAGUAUGCGUAGAAUAAGCAUCGGCUAACUCCGUG